rnacentral:rRNA from 1 species
AUUGAACGCUGGCGGCGUGCUUAACACAUGUAAUUCGAUCGGUAACAGGUGUAGCAAUACAUGCUGACGAGAGGCGGACGGGUGAGGAAUAUUUGGGAAUCUGCCCAUCAGCGGGGGACAACCCGGGGAAACCCGGGCUAAUACCGCAUACGCUCUACGGAGGAAAGCCGGGGACCGCAAGGCCUGGCACUGAUGGAUGGGCCCAAAUCGGAUUAGCUAGUUGGCGGGGUAACGGCCCACCAAGGCGACGAUCCGUAGCUGGUCUGAGAGGACGAUCAGCCACAACGGAAAUGAGACCAGGUCCGCACUCCGACGGGAGGCAGCAGUGGGGAAUAUUGGGCAAUGGGGGAAACCCUGAUCCAGCGACGCCGCGUGGGAGAAGAAGGCCUGCGGGUUGUAAAGCCCUUUCGGUAGGGACAAAAGCUCUUGCUCUAAUAAUGCAAGAGGUUGACUUAACCUACAUAAGAAGCACCGGCUAACUCUGUGCCAGCCGCCGCCGUAA